GACGAACGCUGGCGGCGUGCUUAACACAUGCAAGUCGAACGGUGAAGCGCCUUCCUUUUUGGUGGGUGUGGAUGAGUGGCGAACGGGUGAGUAACACGUGAGUAACCUGCCCCCUUCUUCUGGAUAACCGCAUGAAAGUGUGGCUAAUACGGGAUAUUCUGGGUCUGUCGCAUGAUGGGUCUGGGAAAGAUAUUGUUUCGGUGGGGGAUGGGCUUGCGGCCUAUCAGCUUGUUGGUGGGGUGAUGGCCUACCAAGGCGGUGACGGGUAGCCGGCCUGAGAGGGUGGACGGUCACACUGGGACUGAGACACGGCCCAGACUCCUACGGGAGGCAGCAGUGGGGAUUAUUGCACAAUGGGCGCAAGCCUGAUGCAGCGACGCCGCGUGAGGGAUGGAGGCCUUCGGGUUGUGAACCUCUUUCGCCAGUGAAGCAGGCCUGCCUCGUUUGUGGGUGGGUUGACGGUAGCUGGAUAAGAAGCGCCGGCUAACUACGUG
rnacentral:rRNA from 1 species